GACGAACGCUGGCGGCGUGCCUAAUACAUGCAAGUCGAGCGGACAGAUGGGAGCUUGCUCCCUGAUGUUAGCGGCGGACGGGUGAGUAACACGUGGGUAACCUGCCUGUAAGACUGGGAUAACUCCGGGAAACCGGGGCUAAUACCGGAUGGUUGUUUGAACCGCAUGGUUCAAACAUAAAAGGUGGCUUCGGCUACCACUUACAGAUGGACCCGCGGCGCAUUAGCUAGUUGGUGAGGUAACGGCUCACCAAGGCAACGAUGCGUAGCCGACCUGAGAGGGUGAUCGGCCACACUGGGACUGAGACACGGCCCAGACUCCUACGGGAGGCAGCAGUAGGGAAUCUUCCGCAAUGGACGAAAGUCUGACGGAGCAACGCCGCGUGAGUGAUGAAGGUUUUCGGAUCGUAAAGCUCUGUUGUUAGGGAAGAACA
rnacentral:rRNA from 1 species